rnacentral:rRNA from 1 species
CCCUGGUAGUUCACGCCGUAAACGAUGUGUGCUAAGUGUUAGGGGGGUCCCGCCCCUUAGUGCUGCAGCUAACGCAUUACGCACUCCGCCUGGGGAGCACGACCGCAAGGCCGAAACUCAACGGAAUUGACGGGGACCCGCCCAAGCGGUGGUGCAUGUGGCUUAAUUCGAAGCAACGCGCAGAACCUUUCCAAAUCUCGACAUCCUUUGACAAUCCUAGAGACAGAGCCUUCCCCUCCGGGGGACAAAGUGACAGGUGGUGCAUGGUUGUCGUCAGCUCGUGUCGUGAGAUGUUGGGUUAAGUCCCGCAACGAGCGCAACCCUUAAGCUUAGUUGCCAUCAUUAAGUUGGGCACUCUAAGUUGACUGCCGGUGACAAACCGGAGGAAGGUGGGGAUGACGUCAAAUCAUCAUGCCCCUUAUGAUU